UGGGGAAUAUUGCACAAUGGGCGCAAGCCUGAUGCAGCCAUGCCGCGUGUAUGAAGAAGGCCUUCGGGUUGUAAGUACUUUCAGCGAGGAGGAAGGUGUUGUGGUUAAUAACCACAGCAAUUGACGUUACUCGCAGAAGAAGCACCGGCUAACUCCGUGCAG
rnacentral:rRNA from 1 species